rnacentral:rRNA from 1 species
AGAGUUUGAUCCUGGCUCAGAUUGAACGCUGGCGGAAUGCUUUACACAUGCAAGUCGAACGGUAGAGGGGGCAACCCCUUGGGAGUGGCGAACGGGUGAGUAAUAUAUCGGAACGUGCCCAGUCGUGGGGGAUAACGUAGCGAAAGUUACGCUAAUACCGCAUACGAUCUAUGGAUGAAAGCGGGGGACUCGCAAGAGCCUCGCGCGAUUGGAGCGGCCGAUAUCAGAUUAGGUAGUUGGUGGGGUAAAGGCUCACCAAGCCAACGAUCUGUAGCUGGUCUGAGAGGACGACCAGCCACACUGGAACUGAGACACGGUCCAGACUCCUACGGGAGGCAGCAGUGGGGAAUUUUGGACAAUGGACGCAAGUCUGAUCCAGCCAUUCCGCGUGCAGGAUGAAGGCCCUCGGGUUGUAAACUGCUUUUGUACGGAACGAAAAGGUUUCUAUUAAUACUAGGAGCUCAUGACGGUACCGUAAGAAUAAGCACCGGCUAACUACGUGCCAGCAGCCGCGGUAAUACGUAGGGUGCAAGCGUUAAUCGGAAUUAC